AGCAGCGUGGCUCAGUGGAAAGAGCACGGGCUUGGGAGUCAGAGGUCAUGGGUUCAAAUCCUAACUCUGCCA
rnacentral:tRNA from 1 species